rnacentral:rRNA from 1 species
CCUGCCAGUAGUCAUAUGCUUGUCUCAAAGAUUAAGCCAUGCAUGUCUAAGAAUAAGCCCUUUGAACGGCGAAUCUGCGAAUGGCUCAUUACAUCAGUGAUAGUUUAUUUGAUGGUACCUUUCGCCUUGAAAUACAGGCUGGGCUACUUGGAUAACCGUAGUAAUUCUAGAGCUAAUACAUGCUACACUAACGCCCUUUUUGUUAUAGUUUCGACUAUGACAGAAGGGGCAGCAUUUAUUAGAUUCAAACCAUCGGAGCAUUAAUUUGCUUGUUUCUCUUUUGUUAACUCAAGAGGGGAUUAGCGAUGGUGAGUCAUGAUAACUGAAGCGAAUCGGAAUGAAACAAAGCAAAAAGGACUUGCUUCUUUGAGCUUUUUCCGAUGCUUCAUUCAAAUUUCUGCCCUAUCAGCUUUGGAUGGUAGGAUUUUGGCCUACCAUGGCGAUCACGGGUGACGGAGAAUCAGGGUUCGAUUCCGGAGAGGGAGCUUGAGAAACGGCUACCACAUCCAAGGAUGGCAGCAGGCGCGCAAAUUACCCAAUCUCGAAACGAGGAGGUAGUGACAAUAGGUAACAAUGCUGGGCUGCUUUCAAUGCAGCACGGCAAUUGGAAUGAGAGUGCGACACAGAAAGGCAGUGUGAAAUUAACAUUGUUUAAACCCACAUUCGAGGAGCCAUUGGAGGGCAAGUCUGGUGCCAGCAGCCGCGGUAAUUCCAGCUCCAAUAGCGUAUAUUAAAGUUGUUGCAGUUAAAAAGCUCGUAGUCUGAUGGAUUGGCCAAGGUAUUUUGAGUCUUUUGCUUAACUAGAGGUUUUCAAUCUUUAGUCUAGCUAAAAGAUUUCAAGCGCCUUUACCGAAUUAGUACUUCUGUAUUGGUUUUUUAAUCAAAUCCGACACAGAUUGUUUACUUUGAGAAUCAAGACUAAAGCAUGACUUGAAUACAUUAGCAUGGGAUAAUAAAAUAGGACAUUGGUUCUGUGUUUCGACUCCGAUUUCAGAUUUUCCUAUUUACUUAGGAUUUAUCUGGUUCGAGGACCGAUGUAAUGGUCAACAGGGACUGUUGGGGACAUUCAUACUCCAUGGCUAGAGGUGAAAUUCUUGGAUUCAUGGAAGAUGAACUAGUGCGAAAGCAUUUGUCAAAGAUGUUUUCAUUGAUCAAGAACGAAAGUUAGGGGAGCAAAGACGAUCAGAUACCGUCGUAGUCUUAACCAUAAACGAUGCCGACUCUUGGGAUUGGGGG